AGGUUAAGGGGAUCUGUUAGAGCAAUCGAAGCAGUGAACUUAAGCCCCAGUAAACGGCGGCCGUAACUAUAACGGUCCUAAGGUAGCGAAAUUCCUUGUCGGGUAAGUUCCGACCCGCACGAAAGGCGUAACGAUUUGUGCACUGUCUCAACAACAGACUCGGUGAAAUUGUAAUUCCGGUGAAGAUGCCGGAUACCUGCGACAGGACGGAAAGACCCCAUGGAGCUUUACUGUAGCUUGACAUUGGGUCUUGGUACUACAUGUACAGGAUAGGU
rnacentral:rRNA from 1 species